GACGAACGCUGGCGGCAUGCCUAAUACAUGCAAGUCGAGCGAACAGAUGAAGUGCUUGCACUUCUGACGUUAGCGGCGAACGGGUGAGUAACACGUAAGGAAUCUACCUAUAAGCGGGGGAUAACAUUCGGAAACGGGCGCUAAUACCGCAUAAUAUCUUCUUCCGCAUGGAAGAAGAUUGAAAGACGGCUCUGCUGUCACUUAUAGAUGACCUUGCGGUGCAUUAGUUAGUUGGUGGGGUAACGGCCUACCAAGACGAUGAUGCAUAGCCGACCUGAGAGGGUGAUCGGCAACAUUGGGACUGAGACACGGCCCAAACUCCUACGGGAGGCAGCAGUAGGGAAUCUUCCGCAAUGGGCGAAAGCCUGACGGAGCAAUGCCGCGUGAGUGAAGAAGGCCUUCGGGUCGUAAAACUCUGUUAUAAGAGAAGAACAAAUUGUAGAGUAACUGCUACAGUCUUGACGGUAUCUUAUCAGAAAGCCACGGCUAACUACGUGCCAGCAGCCGCCGUAA
rnacentral:rRNA from 1 species